rnacentral:ncRNA from 1 species
UUUGGUCCUGACCUUGAAGUCAAUUACUUCUUAAUAUACACAUGCAAGUAUCCGCCCCCCUGUGAAAACGCCCUUAAAUCCCCUUUAGGGAUAAGGAGCUGGUAUCAGGCACGAAACUCUGCCCAAAACACCUAGCUAUGCCACACCCACAAGGGAAUUCAGCAGUGAUUAACAUUGAACAUAAGCGUCAGCUUGACUCAGUUAAAGAAGAGAGAGCCGGCAAAUCUGGUGCCAGCCGCCGCGGUUACACCACGUGACUCAAAUUGACCUCUAUCGGCGUAAAGCGUGAUUAAAGUUUAAAUAAAUUGAAGUUAAACUAAAAUUAAGCUGUGACACGCUUAUUUUAAGGAAAACCUAAUACGAAAGUUACUUUAACUAAAUCUACUUGAAUUCACGACAAUUAGGACACAAACUGGGAUUAGAUACCCCACUAUGCCUAAUCGUAAACCUUAAUUUACAUUUAUAUCGCCAGGGAACUACGAGCAAAGCUUAAAACCCAAAGGACUUGACGGUACCCCAAAUCCACCUAGAGGAGCCUGUCCUAUAACCGAUACCCCCCGUUUAACCUCACCAUUUUUAGCUUCUCAGCCUGUAUACCUCCGUCGUCAGCUUACCACGUGAGCGAACACUAGUGAGCCUAAUGCCCAUACACCAACACGUCAGGUCAAGGUGCAGCAUAUGAAAUGGAAAGAGAUGGGCUACACUUUCUAAUAUAGAACAUACGAAAGACUAUUUAUGAAAUCUAGUUUAAAGGCGGAUUUAGAAGUAAAAAAAAACAAGAGCGUUUUCUUUAACUAGGCACUGGGGUGUGUACACACCGCCCGUCACCCUCUUCAAAGCUUACUUACAGUAAUUAACCAAAAUUUGCUGGACAGAAGAGGCAAGUCGUAACAUGGUAAGUAUACCGGAAGGUGUGCUUGGAAACGAAACGUAGCUUAAUCAAAGCAUCUCGCUUACACCGAGAAAAUGUAUGUGAAAACCAAACCGAUUCGAGCUAAAAAUAUAGCCUUAUCAUCCCCUAAUGUAUAAACCUUUUUACACAAUUUAAUUAAAACAUUUUUUAAACCUAGUAAAGGAGAUUAAAAAGUUUCUUAGAGCUAUAAUAAUAGUACCGCAAGGGAAAUAUGAAAUAAAAAUGAAAUAAAACUUAAGCAAUAAAAAGUAAAGCUCAAUCCUUGUACCUUUGCCAUCAUGGUUCAACUAGUCUAAUCAAGCAAAAAGAAUUAAAGUUUGACCCCCCGAAACUAAGUGAGCUACUUCAAGGCAGCUUAAUGAGCCAACCCGUCUCUGUUGCAAAAGAGUGGGAUGACCUUCAAGUAGAGGUGACAGACCUAACGAACUUAGUGAUAGCUGGUUAUUCAGGAAAAGAAUAUUAGUUCUACUUAAAAUUACAUAAAUAAUUAAAAAUUAAUCUAUAAUUUUAAAGCAAUUCAAAUAAGGUACAGCCUGUUUGAAUUAGGAUACAACCUCUUCUAAUGGGUAAACUCAAUAUCUAAAUAUAAUUAAGUAGGCCUAAAAGCAGCCAUCUUUAAAAUAGCGUCAAAGCUUAUUUAUUUAUCCUAAUUAAUAACACUAUUUUAUAUUAACCCUUUUCUACUACUGAAUAAUUUUAUAAUAUUAUAAAAAUUUUCAUGUUGAAACUAGUAACAAGAAGUUAAACUUCUCUUUAACGUAAGCUUAACUCGGACAGGAUUAAACCACCGACAAUUAAUACCCCGAACUAAAAAUAGUAACUUCACAUGAAAACCCUAUUAUAUCUAAUAUUAACCUUACACUAGAACAUUUAAAGAAAGAUUUUAAAAAAAGGAAGGAACUCGGCAAACAUUAACCUCGCCUGUUUACCAAAAACAUCGCCUUCUGAUUUACAAUAGAAGGUCCAGCCUGCCCAGUGAACUAAUUCAACGGCCGCGGUAUCCUAACCGUGCGAAGGUAGCGUAAUCACUUGUUCUUUAAAUGAGGACUAGUAUGAAUGGCACCACGAGGGUUAUACUGUCUCCCUUUUUUAAUCAGUUAAACUAAUCUCCCCGUGAAGAAACGGGGAUAAACAUAUAAGACGAGAAGACCCUAUGGAGCUUUAAAUUACGCAACAAUUGUUAUAUCUUUAUAAUUUUAAGAAUAAUUUUAUAUUUAAACACUAUGAUCGCUAAUUUUUGGUUGGGGUGACCGCGGAGCAUAAAAUAACCUCCACAAUGAAAGAAGCUCUUCUUCUGAACUAAGAACUACAGUUCUAAGUACUAAUAAUUUAACAUUCUUUGAUCCAAUUUUUUGAUCAACGAACAAAGUUACCCUAGGGAUAACAGCGCAAUCCACUUCAAGAGCUCCUAUCGACAAGUGGGUUUACGACCUC